CAAUAGCGUAUAUUAAAGUUGUUGCAGUUAAAAAGCUCGUAGUUGGAUUUCUGGGGGGUGCGGCCGGUCGGCCCCGCAAGGGGUGCGUACUCGCGCCGCCGCUCUUCAUCCUUCGGACGAACGUGUCUGGCAUUAGGUUGUCGGGCUCGGGAGUCCGAUCAUUUACUGUGAAAAAAUUAGAGUGUUUAAAGCAGGCAUUUGCUGUGAAUACAUUAGCAUGGAAUAAUAAGAUAGGACUUUGGUGCUAUUUUGUUGGUUUGCACACCAAGGUAAUGAUUAAUAGGGAUAGUUGGGGGUAUUCAUAUUCAAUUGUCAGAGGUGAAAUUCUUGGAUUUAUGGAAGAUGAACUUAUGCGAAAGCAUUUACCAAGGAUGUUUUCAUUAA
rnacentral:rRNA from 1 species